rnacentral:rRNA from 1 species
UACGGGUGCCUCAAGCGUUAUCCGGAAUUAUUGGGCGUAAAGGGUGUGUAGGCGGCUUUGUUAGUCUUUUGUUAAACCUUCGGGCUCAACCCGAAAUCUGCAAAAGAAACGGCAUGGCUCGAGUGCGCGAGAGGUUUGCGGAACUCAUGGUGUAGGGGUGAAAUCCGUUGAUAUCAUGGGGAACACCAAAUGCGAAGGCAGCAAACUGGCGCGUCACUGACGCUGAAACACGAAAGCGUGGGUAGCGAAUGGG